GAGUUUGAUCCUGGCUCAGGAUGAACGCUGGCGGCGUGCUUAACACAUGCAAGUCGAACGAAGCACUUUAUUUGAUUUCCUUCGGGACUGAUUAUUUUGUGACUGAGUGGCGGACGGGUGAGUAACGCGUGAGGAACCUGCCUCAAAGAGGGGGACAACAGUUGGAAACGACUGCUAAUACCGCAUAAGCCCACGGGUCGGCAUCGACCAGAGGGAAAAGGAGCAAUCCGCUUUGAGAUGGCCUCGCGUCCGAUUAGCUAGUUGGUGAGGUAACGGCCCACCAAGGCAACGAUCGGUAGCCGGACUGAGAGGUUGAACGGCCACAUUGGGACUGAGACACGGCCCAGACUCCUACGGGAGGCAGCAGUGGGGAAUAUUGCACAAUGGGGGAAACCCUGAUGCAGCGACGCCGCGUGGAGGAAGAAGGUCUUCGGAUUGUAAACUCCUGUUGCUGGGGAAGAUAAUGACGGUACCCAACAAGGAAGUGACGGCUAACUACGUGCCAGCCGCCGCGGUAAUUC
rnacentral:rRNA from 1 species